AGACCCGAAACCCGGUGAUCUAGCCAUGGGCAGGUUGAAGGUUGGGUAACACUAACUGGAGGACCGAACCGACUAAUGUUGAAAAAUUAGCGGAUGACUUGUGGCUGGGGGUGAAAGGCCAAUCAAACCGGGAGAUAGCUGGUUCUCCCCGAAAGCUAUUUAGGUAGCGCCUCGUGAAUUCAUCUCCGGGGGUAGAGCACUGUUUCGGCAAGGGGGUCAUCCCGACUUACCAACCCGAUGCAAACUGCGAAUACCGGAGAAUGUUAUCACGGGAGACACACGGCGGGUGCUAACGUCCGUCGUGAAGAGGGAAACAACCCAGACCGCCAGCUAAGGUCCCAAAGUCAUGGUUAAGUGGGAAACGAUGUGGGAAGGCCCAGACAGCCAGGAUGUUGGCUUAGAAGCAGCCAUCAUUUAAAGAAAGCGUAAUAGCUCACUGGUCGAGUCGGCCUGCGCGGAAGAUGUAACGGGGCUAAACCAUGCACCGAAGCUGCGGCAGCGA
rnacentral:rRNA from 2 species